AGAAUUUGAUCUUGGUUCAGAUUGAACGCUGACGGCGUGGAUGAGACAUGCAAGUCGAACGCAAAUUGGAGCAAUCCGAUUUGAGUGGCGAAAGGGUUAGUAAGGCAUGAGUAAUCUAUCAACAACCUGGGGAUAACGAUUGGAAACGAUCGCUAAUACCGAAUGUGAUGACCUGCUGAUUGUAGGUAUAUUAAAGUGGGGGAUCCUGAGAGGGACCUUGCGGUUGAAGAGGGGCUCAUGUAGUAUCAGCUAGUUGGUAGGGUAACGGCCUACCAAGGCUACGACGCUUAGGCGGAUUGAGAGAUUGACCGCCAACACUGGGACUGAGACACUGCCCAGACUCCUACGGGAGGCAGCAGUCGAGAAUAUUUCGCAAUGGGCGAAAGCCUGACGAAGCGACGCCGUGUGAACGAAGAAGGCCUUCGGGUUGUAAAGUUCUGUCGUCUAGGAACAAGAAUCGCUAAAUAAUAUGUGGCGGUUUUGAGAGUAUUAGAAAAGGAAGCACCGGCUAACUCCGUGCCAGCAGCUGCGGUAAUACGGAGGGUGCAAGCGUUAAUCGGAAUUAUUGGGCGUAAAGGGUGCGUAGGCUGGGAUGUAAGUCAGAUGUGAAAUUUCGGGGCUCAACCUCGAAGCUGCAUUUGAAACUACAUUUCUAGAGGGAAAGCGGAGAAAACGGAAUUCCACGUGUAGCGGUGAAAUGCGUAGAUAUGUGGAAGAACACCUGUGGCGAAAGCGGUUUUCUAGCUUUAUCCAGACGCUGAGGCACGAAAGCAAGGGGAGCAAACAGGAUUAGAUACCCUGGUAGUCCUUGCCCUAAACGAUGCAUACUUGGUGUAGUUGGUCUCAACCCCAGCUGUGCCGAAGCUAACGCGAUAAGUAUGCCGCCUGAGGAGUACGCCCGCAAGGGUGAAACUCAAAAGAAUUGACGGGGACCCGCACAAGCAGUGGAGCAUGUGGUUUAAUUCGAUGCAACGCGAAGAACCUUACCUGGAUUUGACAUGUAGUUGAAAGUAGUAGAGAUACUAUGUUCCUUCGGGACAACUGCGCAGGUGCUGCAUGGCUGUCGUCAGCUCGUGCCGUGAGGUGUUGGGUUAAGUCCCGCAACGAGCGCAACCCUUGUCGUUAGUUGCCAGCGAGUAAUGUCGGGAACUCUAACGAGACUGCCUGGGUUAACCAGGAGGAAGGUGAGGAUGACGUCAAGUCCGCAUGGCCUAUAUGUCCAGGGCUACACACGUGCUACAAUGGCCGGUACAGAAGGCAGCGAUAUCGCAAGGUGGAGCAAAUCCUUAAAGCCGGUCCCAGUUCAGAUUGGAGUCUGCAACUCGACUCCAUGAAGAUGGAAUUGCUAGUAAUGGCGAGUCAGCAACAUCGCCGUGAAUACGUUCCCGGGUCUUGUACAC
rnacentral:rRNA from 1 species